UAAAGUCUGGCCUGCCCACUGAUUUAUUUAAAGGGCCGCGGUAAUUUGACCGUGCGAAGGUAGCAUAGUCAGUAGUCUUUUAAUUGGAGGCUUGAAUGAAUGGUUGGACGAGGGAUAAACUGUCUCCUUAGCGGCGUUUGAAUUUAACUUUUGAGUGAAAAGGCUCAAAUUGUUUAGGG
rnacentral:rRNA from 1 species